GCUACGCCACUUCUAAAACUGUGGUACUUGAUAAGCCCCUUAUUAUUGUGAACUCGUUCAGAACCUAAAUAACCAGCCAAAAAAAAAAAAAAAAAAAAACCCGAAGAACAAAUUAAGAUUUGUGUUUGAUUUAAUUAAAAUUUCUGCUAGGACGGGAGACUUGGAAAGGAACUUCCUGCCCGCCGCAUCGCCGUCGCGGCUUCCCUUUUCCAAGAGUUGAUUUCAUUUGCUGCUCAACGAAUGUAAGCGACAAACUAUCAGUUUGAAUUAUGCUUUUAAUUUUUCAUCUUCAUCGUGUUAUGGUGUCCGUGCUUCUGUCUGGACUGUGUUCAGACUGAGGCCGAUUUGCUUUAUUCCAUGACGAUUACGGAUUCAAAUGUUUUGGAUUUCUUUUUCUUCCCUCAUAUUGAAGCUUUUGUAAUUCUGAAAACGCCGAACAGUAGAAUCAUUUGUUACGAAUUGGACGAUUGUUGAGAGCUUAAUUCCACGCCAUUUUCGCCCUUGUCAGCAUUAGUUCCAUGGCGCCGCUUGGCGCUUGGGCUUCAUUUCUAUAAUCAUUCGGCUUCUUGGAACCUGAAAACGUUUUAUAGCGGCAAAACGGACUUAAUCAAGCUAUUAGAGUUACUUUUCUUGUAAUUUUCUCUUACUUUUAGUUAUCACAUUAUUUUACUGAACUCUUGUACAAGCUCUACAAAACUGAGCUCUCUGAGGGAAUAGAUUCAUUCAAGAUCUUCUUCUCUCAAUUGCUUGUAACACAAGCAAAUGCACAAAUCACAAUUGGACUAAAGAAUUUCAAAACCCCCCACUAGACUCUCCUCUCUUCCUCAUCUCCUAAAUAUUUUUCACUUCCAUCGGCUACCCCUGAGCAACAUUUUCUGACUAACUUUGAUUUUCUUGUCAUUGGCGUUUCUUUGUAUUCGAUUCAAGAUAACAUUGAAUAGGCAUUGAUCUUGUCUUCAAUUUCUUGCUUGAACGCUAUCUUCUUCUAACUUGUUUUCCUUUAUUUCCUGGCAAGGAGCUUAUUUCUAGUCUUCAUUUUUUUCCCUUGUCGUAUUAUUAGUUCUCCUGUGUUGGUUCUUAUUGUUUCUUGGUCUUGCUAGUAUUUGACGAAUAAUAUAUGAAGAUUUAACUCUAUUGUUUGGAAUUUGGAUGCUACUUUCUCAUGCUUGUCAGGCAGAUGUGUUUAGUACACUGUUGUCCCCUGAAUUUCUAGUUUGGGCAUUAUAUUGCUGAUUAACUGCCUUUGAUAAAUCUAAGUUGUCUUUAUUGUGCAUAAAGCUAAAAACAUGGUAUUUGAUGUCAAAAGGCCUGCUAAAAAUAGAGGCAAGACACUAUAUUACGCAUUGCAUAGUGCAAGUUUGUUUCUGGUUAAGCCGUAUAGGCUGGUUUGAUUGUUUAUUAUAUUUAUAUUCUCAGCAGGUUUCAGUGGUGCUGGAGAAAACAUUUACUCCACGGUGAUUUUACCAAUAUAAUUAUUUUAAUUCUUUUUUUAAACUCUUUUUUGGACAUCUUUUUUAUUAUCAUCAUUAUUGUUUUUUUUUAACUUACAGCAAAGUAUGUGCAAUUCUAUGGUCAAUUCUUUUUGGUUUUCUUCCCUUUUGCUUAUGCAGUAUGAUUGAUUUAUUUUGUUACGGGAAAAACUUGAGCAACAUGUUUUGUAACAUAUCUUGUACUAUGUCAAGCAACAAGUUCCAUGUCGUGCAGAUUUUGCCUGGAGAUUUUUUCCUUAUUUGUUGAUACGUGUAGUGCAAAUUUUGCCGACUUGCUUUCCUAUUUUUACAAAGAAUAUUUUUUCCUUCCUUGAAGAUUUUUCCAAGGCCGAGCCAUAUAUAUUGUGGGAUCUUGUUUAUUUUUAGGGUCAGCCCUUUUGAAAAUAAUGAGUGUGUAGUUAGGGUUUUGUGGGAUUAUCAAACUUAAUCCUUAUGCACUGUUCAUGAACUUUGUGUAUCUCACUUUUGAGGGCAUUGUCAGUCAUAUUUUACACUAGUUUGGUUGAGUAUAGAAAACCACUUAGGGAGUAGGUGAGAACACGGGGUGAGUUGUUGAUAUUGUAAUGAAGGGAUCAUCAUUCAAAGCUUGAAAUAAGCUUGCGUGUUGUAAUAAGGGGAUCUCAUUCAAAGCUUGAGAGAAGCUUAUUUGUGAAAGUGAGAGAAGCUCAAACUUAGGGAGAGCCUUAAUCAAAAUUGAAAAGUCGGCUUUACAUGAGGCGCUGAAGAGGGAGUCUGUCAGAUAAGUAUUUCGUUGUAAUCGCUCAACUCAAAUAUAGUGAAUUUUCUUUUCAUCGGGCAUACAACCCCCAGAGUAGGUGACAUUACACCGAAUUGUGUUACCAACCUCUGUUUUUCUCUAUCCUUGCUCUUAGUGUCUUAUAUUAAUUUAUUCCACUUAUCAAUUAUCUUGUUACUACAUCUUUCUUGAGUUGUGUGUAUUAUGUGUUAGAUUCGCUUAAAAAUUUCACCUUAUACCAAAAAGAAGGCUCGUUAAAUCUUGUUUCAUUUAUAGAACUUCUAUUACCACCCGUUUCUCUGAAUUAAUGUUAUAGUCUGCAUUAUGCACAAUAUGAAGAUAGAACCAUCUGUUCGACAUUUUAGUCUGUCAAUGAUCUACAUUACCUUUUGGUGUUUUUCAUUUAGAUAAAUAUUCUUCAGUCACGAGCUUUGAGGAACUAGAUCAAAGAUAGCUCUGAAGUCUAUUAAUUUCUUCGGAUUUCGAUUAAUUUUGGUGUCUUCAGCAUGUGCCACUCAUGUAUAAUAUCUGGUCUUGUAUGUGUUAGAAAGACAAGUUCCUUGGUUGAUGGUAAGUAUGGCAGAUGAUGGUCUUUUAUCUUCAGCCUAUUGAUUAAUCAAAAAAUGACAAGUUAAUUAUCAGAUCCGUCUUACAUUACCAUUAGUGGAUCAGGAUCUUUUCUGGUGUGCUGUUUAAAGUCCACUGUUUUACAUCAGUUGCCACAUUGUUAAAAUGAAUGUUUGGUAAUGGAUCCUAGAUUAUUUUGAAAAUCUUGUUUAAAAUGUUGGUUUUGUACUUCAUACUGUUUUGGCUUACUUGCAGUUGCAGUUGGCACGAUAACAUCUACAAGAUUGCUCCUUUUUUUGUAUUAAAUUUUGUAAGAAGAAAUUAAUUCCAGGAUAAUUAUUUUUCAGGAGAAAGUAUGGGGGCAUAUUGAAUUCUUAUGUACAUUGCUUCCGAUUAUUGUAACCUUUUGAUUCUGUUAAUUAAUAUUAUACUUUGGUGAUAUACUUUACAUAAAUUAUUUAUAAAACUAAGUUGGUUGUCCCAUGCCAUUUCAUCUUGUUGUUGUCGUUGUCCUCUUUUUAUAUAUAUAUAUAUAUAUAUGUAUGUAUGUAUAUUUUUUUGUUUUUGAUAUCUGCCUUCUUCUGUAGCAUGGCUGCAGAAACAUGAGGCUGAUGUGGCUGCUACCCUCAAUAUAUUAAUUUCUCACGUUUAUGAUAUAUCUAUAUCUAGUGAUAUAAAAGUCGCAGCCUUCUCAUAAACAAGAAAAUCUGAUUUCGAUUGGCUUUGGACUAUUCAUUUCUUAGAACAAUAUGGAUUCAUGUUGCCUGACUUUUAUACUUCACAGUCUUGUAAUUUGAUGUUACCUAUCAGAGAGAUGAUUAAACUCGCCAUAACUCAUGAUGUUUUAUCUUGUCUUUUAAUUUUUAAGAGUGCAGCUGAGUCUUUCAUGGUAGAUGGGUAGUGAUGCCAAUCUGCAACUUAAACAAGAAUGUGCAAGGACAAAGUUGACG